rnacentral:rRNA from 1 species
AUUGAACGCUGGCGGCAGGCCUAACACAUGCAAGUCGAACGGUAACAGGAAGAAGCUUGCUUCUUUGCUGACGAGUGGCGGACGGGUGAGUAAUGUCUGGGAAACUGCCUGAUGGAGGGGGAUAACUACUGGAAACGGUAGCUAAUACCGCAUAACGUCGCAAGACCAAAGAGGGGGACCUUCGGGCCUCUUGCCAUCUGCUGUGCCCAGAUGGGAUUAGCUAGUAGGUGGGGUAACGGCUCACCUAGGCGACGAUCCCUAGCUGGUCUGAGAGGAUGACCAGCCACACUGGAACUGAGACACGGUCCAGACUCCUACGGGAGGCAGCAGUGGGGAAUAUUGCACAAUGGGCGAAAGCCUGAUGCAGCCAUGCCGCGUGUAUGAAGAAGGCCUUCGGGUUGUAAAGUACUUUCAGCGGGGAGGAAGGGAGUAAAGUUAAUACCUUUGCUCAUUGACGUUACCCGCAGAAGAAGCACCGGCUAACUCCGUG